AUGGCUACUGCAUAUGCUCCUCCGAUGGCAAGCCAGGUGAUGAAGAGCGGCUUGGUGUGCUCCAAGCCGAGGGGACUGUCCGGCGCUUCACUCACCAGGAGGCCCCGCUUCGUCGUCAAGGCCGUCAAGUCCGACAAGGGGACGUACCAGGUGGUCCAGCCCAUCAACGGCGACCCAUUCAUCGGCAGCCUGGAGACGCCCGUCACGUCCAGCCCCCUCGUCGCGUGGUACCUCUCCAACCUUCCCGCGUACCGCACCGCCGUCAGCCCGCUCCUCCGUGGCAUCGAGGUCGGCCUCGCCCACGGCUACCUCCUCGUCGGCCCCUUCGCGCUCACCGGCCCGCUCCGCAACACGCCAAUUCACGGCCAGGCGGGAACCCUCGGCGCCAUCGGCCUCGUCUCCAUCCUCAGCGUCUGCCUCACCAUGUACGGCGUCGCCUCCUUCAACGAGGGCGCGCCCUCCACCGCGCCCGCCCUCACGCUCACCGGCCGCAAGAAGGAGGCCGACAAGCUGCAGACCGCCGAAGGCUGGUCCCAGUUCACCGGAGGCUUCUUCUUCGGCGGCGUCUCCGGCGCCAUCUGGGCCUACUUCCUCCUCUACGUGCUCGACCUCCCAUACUUCUUCAAGUAG
rnacentral:rRNA from 1 species